CCUUAUCCCUGCUAGACCUGCAAUCUAUUUUUUCUCUCGUGGACAAGAAAGAUGGAGAGAUCUUACAGACAAACAAAGGUGCAGCAAAACAAGCAAAGAGAUCCAGAAGAAUCUCAUUAGACUUGGAAACCCAGAUCGUGUCGUUCUCAAUGGAUCUCGAGGACCUCCAUGAAUCCUCAGUUGUCUGAGAUGGUGAUGGCAUGACUGACUCCACACAGGCCUCCAUCUCUUGUGCCUUCGUCAACCUCUCUGUCAUCUAUGUCUCUAUGGAGAGGUUCUUGCUUUGCGAUGCCAUGUUCUUUGGGCCAUGCAAGAACAACGCCAGUCUCUGGUAGCCUUUUUGGAUUGAAUUGGUUUUGUGUAACCCCCACAACAACCCAGCUGGUACUGGGUUUCGAGACUGGUAGAGAUAGACAAAGAAAAGGGGAAAUGGGGCCAAUGAUUUAGAAAGGUGCGUUGCACCAUGUAAAAUAAAAGAAAUAAAACCAAAAGUUUUUGGAA